rnacentral:rRNA from 1 species
GGGUUCAUCGGUUGGUCGGGCUUUCGGGUCUGUACUGGCGUGAUGGAUUCCUACCUUCUGAAUAACCAGCAUGUCAUUAAUUUGGUGCGCUGGGGAAGCAGGACUGUUACCUUGAAAAAAUUAGAGUGCUUAAAGCAGGCUAUUGCCUGAAUACAUUAGCAUGGAAUAAUGAAAUAGGACGCAUGAUUCUAUUUUGUUGGUUUCUAGGAUCACCGUA